AGCUUUGUGCAGUGGUAGUAUCAUAGCCAAUGAUGUUUAUCUGAGGUGUGAUUAUUGCUAAUUGAAGAAUCAGAAUCCAAAUGAUGAUAAUUCAUUGUAAUGCAUUCAUGUCUUUAAUUUUUUCUUCAAUUUGCAGAUU
ensembl:snRNA U4 U4 spliceosomal RNA